CAGUGGCUGUUACCUGCUGCCGCAGGCCUGCCAGCUCCCCUGCACAGGAGGGAUGGAUAGCAGGAAAGCAGCGCUGAGUCACAAUCUCCCUCUGGGCCAGCAGACUUGGGUUGUUUGAGCCACAUGGGCAAAGUCAGAGCACAUCCCUCUGCAGUACAGCGCAGCUCAGUGCCUCCCGCACCUCCACCAGCUCCUUGGUCAGCCCCGAGCGCUUCACUUCCAGCUGCUCCAGCUGCCGAUGGCUGUGGGACAGACUUCUGUCACUUCGCUGCUCUGUACCCCAUACAGGACACGAGCCCAGCACCUCCCUCCUGGACCCAGUGACUGCUCUUCCUAAGCCUCAGUGUUCUCCCGGGACUGCACUGGAAGGACCCUGGUAGGAAGGACAAGCAGGCAGAGGAGAGGGAGCUUCUGAGGCUACUCUCCCCCAGGGUUGGUGGCUGGACUGAUUGACUACUCUGACUACAUCUUCUGUCCUCCGGGCCACUGCCUCCAGGAAGCCUUCCCUGAUGCUUUUCACAACUGAUUCAUCUCACUUACACCAUGCACUGAAAGCUUCUCUCUCUCUCUGUUUUGUUGUUGUUGUUGUUGUUGUUGUUGUUGUUGUUUCCCUAUGUUGCCCUGGAACUCACUUUGCAGACCAAGCUGGCCUUACUAUAUAGCCCUGGCUUGAUGGGAACUGUUAUACAGCCUGGGCUGAACUCAAACUUGAAACGAUCCUCCUGUCUCAGUGCCCUAAAUGCUGGGUUACAAAUACGAGCUACGAGUCUGCUUUUCUUAGAGACUUGUUUGUUUGUUUGUUUGUUUGUUUGAGACAAGGUCUCACUAUGUUACAUAGGCUGACUGGCCUAGAGUUCCCUCUGUAGACUAGGCUGGCCUUGAACUCACAGAGAUCUGCCCACCUCUGCUUCCCAAGUGCUGGGACUGAAGGCAUGGACUGCUACACCAGCUUUCCUGUUUAUUUAGGAAAAGCAGAUUUAAAAAAUUUUAAAAAAAAUUUAAAAACUAUCACUCACUUUGCAGACCAAGCUGGCCUUACUAUAUAGCCCUGGCUUGAUGGGAACUGCUAUACAGCCUGGGCUGAACUCCAACUUGAAACAAUCCUCCUGUCUCAGUGCCCUAAAUGCUGGGUUACAAAUACGAGCUACGAGUCUGCUUUUCUUAGCAAAGGGGAAAACAGAAUAGUGUCUCACCAAAAGAAAUUUCACUCUCUUGCUCUCGCCUUCUUAUUCCCGCUCUCUCCCCAUUCCCUUCACGCCUCUCUCUCCACAGGCUCAUGGCCGGCCUCUACUCCUCUGCUUCUCUACUCUCUCUCUUUUUACCUUAAUACCCUCAACUCCCCUCCCCAUGCCCUGAAUAAACUCUAUUCGAUACUAACAAAAGCAAUUCUAUUACAUGUGAAUUAUUUAUUUGUGUGUGCUGGGGCACAUGUGACACGGCACGAGUGGCGAUCAGGAGCUAACACUGGUGAUUCAGUUCUCUGAGUGCACGCUGCCCUUGCGGAAGGGCACUUUGCUCUCAGCAGCCACCCUGGGUAGCUCAUGGUCACCUUAACUCCAGACCCAUAGACAUCCAGCUGACAGCUCUGGCGUUUUGGAGUGCACAUGCCCACAUGCAUACAAUUAAAACAAAAUCAAAAAUUCUCUAUCUGAGAGAGGCAUAGUGGUGUAUACCUGUAGUCCCAGCACUUACCAGGCCGGGCCAGGCAGAUCUCUGAGUUUGAGAUCUGCCUGGUUAGUCUACAGAGUGAGUUCCAGGGCACUCAGGGCUACACAGAGAAACCCUGCAUUGAUAAAUAAGUAGACCGAUACAUUUUUUAAAAUUGUCUCUAGGGUGACAGGGCUGCAACUGGGCUGUAGCUGGGGGUAGUGUUUUCCCCUGGCAGAUACCAGGCCUUGGGAUGCAUUCCCAGCAA